rnacentral:misc_RNA from 1 species
AAACAUUCCAACUGCUUGCAAUCUGGAAGAGAUGAUUAAACGUCUUUUCUGAGGAAUUCUAGUAAGAUGGCUGAGGUUCACAUUGUUGGACAAAUCGUUGGAGCCUCUGGCUUUCCUGACCACAGUCUUUUCUGUAAAUGGGGAAUAAACACAGGUGGUGCUUGGAAGGCUUUAGCGGGUCUAAGAGAAGGACAGACACAAGUUGAUACUCCGCAGCAACAUGACGCAGCAUACUGGGCUCACCCCAUAGACAUUCACUAUGCAACAAAAGGCCUACAAGGUAGGAAAAAGAGCAUGUCAGGCCCAACAAUUUUGACUGGUUGAAUGCUUUUCCCAAUUCGAAAGAUUAUAUUCAGGGCAAUUAUAAACUCUCCAAAUUGAAGAUGCUAAUUUAUCUGAGAGAAUGAAUCAUGACUUAAGUACGAACAUUACAUGUUUUUCCAUACACAUGGAAGGAGGGUACUUUGGAGAGGAUUACUUUUGGGAGUCAUUAAUAUAGAUUUUUGGUCAUUAUUAAUGUAAACAAAGAUCUUGGGGAAAUUCUAACUUCGAACAUAACUUCUUUUUGAUUGUUUAAAUACACAUUAAUCAUUUUCAUGGAAUUCUAGUAUCUGUGGUCAUGAAUUGCAUGCCAUCUAUAUUAUCAUGAUGCAAGGAACAAGAAGUUCUAUAAUUUGGGGUUGGAACUCUUCAAUGUUUUCAAGAUUUUUAAUUACGCAUGGUUCCAUGAGAUAGGGACUGUGGUACAAAAGCCAUGUAAUAAGUAAUGACAACUGGAGCAAGAAUAUGAUGAUCAUUUCUGGCUCAACGAAAUAGGAAUGAACAAAGGAACUUGAUUUGUUGUACACUGUACAUAACAUUACAUUAGUGUAUGUUUCAAAAGAUUCCUGGGUAGUUUUCUUUGCAAAACUCUAAAGACAAGUUCUUUUGUUGAAGAGAAAACACAAUGUGUCUCCUUUUUGGGAGACAAGUAUCUUAUAAGAAAAUCAAAAUAAAUUUUGUUUUAUUUCCAUACUCUUAAUAUUUGCAUGUAAAAUUAUAAAUUUACAGGUUGGCCAAAAAUUCACUUUCAAGUAUGGCAUCAAGAUUCGUUUGGAAGAAAUGAACUCUAUGGUUAUGGUUUCUGUCAUGUACCUACAACGCCUGGCAUGCAUGAAAUUGAAUGCCCGACUUGGAGGCCCUCUGGGAGUUUCAAGGAACAAGUGUCACAGUAUUUUCUGGGAGGGGGACCGCAACUGAAAAACCCCGACUUGAUAUACAGUGGUGCUGAUCGUUACAGACUUCAUACCAUUGCGAUGGGAAGUGUACAUGUACGGCUCGGAGUUAUACUCAGGAACUUUGACAAAUAUGGAAUUGAAUGUUGAUACAUGUAAUGAUAUUUCUGAAGCAUUUUUUUGAAACUGGACAUCAUAAUUUUUUACCUGAUAAUUGACAUGAAUAACAUGAAAUAUAAUUUAUUGGUUUAGAGAUGUUGGCAACAUCUAAUGUAGGGACACAUCCUUUAGUUAUACAUAAUUUUUCAUGUGUCUGUAUAUGUGUUACAUAGUUUUUUAUCAUGUAAAUGUAUGUACAUGUAUAAUAAAAUAUAUUUUAUG